GAAUGAAUGAUUAAUUCUUGAAUUCAUUCUUUCCACUUUUGUUUACAUGAUUCGAUAGUUUGCAACAUUCGAACUAUUCGACGUUUAUUCGAAUGCGCACACCAGCUUUCGAUUGCUGAAUGUUAAAUGCUGUUAGUGGAACGCAGCGGGGAUUGAAAUAUUGUGUAGUAGGGAUACUGCUUCCAAAUAAGCGUGAAUGUAGUAAAAUUAUAACUAACUGUGAGAGACAUUAAUUUCAUAUAUCAGUAUGAUUCGCAUUCAAGCACAGCCAGACAGAAUUGAUCCUGCAGAAGAGAAAAAGAAAUCGAGGGAAAAUGUAAUAGCAAAUGUGACUACAUUUGCACUUCUCAUUGCACUUAUCAGAUCGGUUCCAUAUGCACUUCGGCAGUUCCAGUAAUUAAGGCGCAGUUCAUUUAAAUAAACGCUGUACAGUAAACUACAUUGCGUUUUAUAAAUCGAGUUAUAAUUGUAAUGUUACAAUCAAUAAAUAAUCUCUGAUACAAG